rnacentral:rRNA from 1 species
CACCGCGGUUAAACGAGAAGGCUCAAAUUGAUAGGAAUCGGCAUAAAGUGUGGUUAAGGAAAAAAUAUAAUAGAGUUAAAGUGCUUCAAGGCAGUGAUAAGCUUCCGAAGUUACGAAAUACAAUUAACGAAAGUAACUCUACCAACCCUGACACCACGAAAACCAUAGAA